rnacentral:rRNA from 1 species
GACGAACGCUGGCGGCGUGCUUAACACAUGCAAGUCGAACGGAAAGGCCCUGCUUUUGUGGGGUGCUCGAGUGGCGAACGGGUGAGUAACACGUGAGUAACCUGCCCUUGACUUUGGGAUAACUUCAGGAAACUGGGGCUAAUACCGGCUAGGAGCUCCUGCUGCAUGGUGGGGGUUGGAAAGUUUCGGCGGUUGGGGAUGGACUCGCGGCUUAUCAGCUUGUUGGUGGGGUAGUGGCUUACCAAGGCUUUGACGGGUAGCCGGCCUGAGAGGGUGACCGGCCACAUUGGGACUGAGAUACGGCCCAGACUCCUACGGGAGACAGCAGUGGGGAAUAUUGCACAAUGGGCGGAAGCCUGAUGCAGCAGCGCCGCGUGCGGGAUGACGGCCUUCGGGUUGUAAACCGCUUUCGCCUGUGACGAAGCGUGAGUGACGUUAAUAGGUAAAGAAGCACCGGCUAACUACGUG